CCUACGGGCGGCAGCAGUGAGGAAUAUUGGUCAAUUGUCUUAAUCCUUAACCCUCCCCUUCUCUUUCUUGAUGAAGGUUCUAUGGAUCGUAAACCUCUUUUAUAAGGGAAUAAAGUGCGGGACGUGUCCCGUUUUGUAUGUACCUUAUGAAUAAGGAUCGGCUAACUCCGUGCCAGCAGCCGCGGUAAUACGGAGGAUCCGAGCGUUAUCCGGAUUUAUUGGGUUUAAAGGGUGCGUAGGCGGCCUUUUAAGUCAGCGGUGAAAGUCUGUGGCUCAACCAUAGAAGUGCCGUUGAAACUGGGAGGCUUGAGUAUGUUUGAGGCAGGCGGAAUGCGUGGUGUAGCGGUGAAAUGCUUAGAUAUCACGCAGAACCCCGAUUGCGAAGGCAGCCUGCCAAGCCAUGACUGACGCUGAUGCACGAAAGCGUGGGGAUCAAACAGGAUUAGAUACCCCAGUAGUC
rnacentral:rRNA from 1 species